rnacentral:rRNA from 1 species
AAGUUCAGAUGUGAAAGACCCGGGGCGUCAACCUCGGAAUUGCAUUUGUAAACUAGGCAGACUAGAGUACUGUAGAGGGGGGUAGGAAUUUCAGGUGUAGCGGUGAAAUAGCGUAGAGAUCUGAAGGAAUACCGGUGGCGAAGGCGGCCCCCUCGGACAGAUACUGACACUCAGAUGCGAAAGCGUGGGGAGCAAACAGGAUUAGAUACCCUGGUAG